rnacentral:rRNA from 1 species
UACGUAGGCAGCAAGCGUUGUUCGGAAUUACUGGGCGUAAAGAGUGUGUAGGCGGUGCUCUAAGUCUGUUGUGAAAUCUCCCGGCUUAACUGGGAGGGUGCGCGGAGACUGGAGUGCUAGAGUGUGGGAGAGGUAAGCGGAAUUCCUGGUGUAGCGGUGAAAUGCGUAGAUAUCAGGAGGAACACCUGUGGUGUAGACAGCUUACUGGACCACGACUGACGCUGAGACACGAAAGCGUGGGUAGCAAACAGG